GUCGAGCGGCGAACGGGUGAGUAACACGUGAGUAACCUGCCUUUUAGUUGGGGACAACUGGCCUAACGGCCAGCUAAUACCGAAUAGUGCCUUCUGUCGCAUGACAGGAUGGCGAAAGGCUUCGGCCGCUAAGAGAUGGACUCGCGUCCCAUUAGUUAGUUGGCGGGGUAAAGGCCCACCAAGACAUCGAUGGGUAGCCGGCCUGAGAGGGUGAUCGGCCACAUUGGGACUGAGAUACGGCCCAGACUCC
rnacentral:rRNA from 1 species